rnacentral:tRNA from 1 species
UGCCGAGGUGGUGGAAUUUGGCAGACACGUAGCAUUGAGGGUGCUAUGGGCAUAAGCCCGUCCGGGUUCAAAUCCCGGCCUCGGCACCAA